rnacentral:lncRNA from 1 species
AUGCCUAGAUUUCAACCAGAGAAUAUUGACAAGAAUACUAAGAUAUUCGAGCGUGUGAACGCAAUGGCAGCAAAAAGAGGAUGCACGCCAUCACAACUAGCAUUGGCUUGGGUUCACCAUCAGGGAAACGAUGUUUGCCCCAUACCUGGCACAACAAAAAUCGAGAACUUCAACCAGAAUGUGGGGGCACUGUCUGUGAAGUUGACACCAGAUGAGAUGGCUGAACUCGAGUCGUAUGCUGCUACAGGUGAAGUCUUGGGUGACCGUUAUGCUGAAACUACCAACACCUGGAAGGACUCCGAGACCCCGCCAUUGUCUUCUUGGAAAUCUGAGUAGCCAAUCUGGUAUCUUCAACUCUAUCACGGUCACAUUGCUGUAUCUCCAAACUGUCGGACUGCAGAAGAUGCUCAGGUGCACUUUGGAAAAGCAUCCAUAUGAUGCUUGCCUUAUUGCGAGCUAUGAAUUUGGUACUUAGUGUGUAUUGCAUGCCUCGUUUCGUAUCAAGAGUAUUUACCAUGAGUAUAGAUUAAAGGUUAAAAGCACUGGUUCGAUGAAUGACCAUGUGCAUUUGUAUCAAGAGUAUUUAGCAUGACUAGCAAACUGAAUUUUGUAAUAGUUGUAAAAAAAAAUGUGAUUGUAAAAUGUACUAGAUGUGGUACGCUCAUGCAAACAUAACUAUAGGCAAUUACUAUUGUAUACUCCAUCGGUCGGCGCAUGAGCUCCUUUCCAUUCAUGUUCGCUUAGCUGGUAGAAAGUUUUUGUUCGCUGAUUUGUUAUAAGAGAAAACAUUGCUCAAUAAUAGAUAAAUUUGGCUGAUAAGCUCAAACGAACAUGCUAUUUUGGUUCUUUACAACCAUGCUUCGGUCAAUGCUUCUGGGAUGGUAAUUAGGGCAUAGAAAAUCAUUGGUCACCUUGCAUUUACUAAAAAAAAUUGUCACAUGCUUUCUUUCAUUAUUCUUCUAUACUAUAUAAAUACUUUUGGGGUUAUAUUUAGCAUUAUUCUUCUAGAAGCUUCCAAAAGUUAUAUUUAGCUCUAGGAAAAUGGGGACAUAUAUAUCGAAAAAAAAUCCCAAAACAUUCUGAAAAAUGAAUAACACAUUUUAAAAAGAGUAAAAUACACUGGCGGCCCUUUAACUUGUCAGCAUGUGCCACUUUGGUCCAUGAACUUGCAAACCCGAAAAAGUGACCCCUGAACUUGUCCACCUGUGCCACUUUGGUCCAUGAAGUUGCAAACCCGAAAAAGUGACCUCUGAACUUGUCCACCUGUGUCACUUUGGUCCAUGAACUUGCAAACGCGAAAAAGUGUCUCCUAAACUUGUCGACCUGUGCCAUCUUAGAAAAAAUAUCCUCUAAACUUGUCGACCUGUGCCACCUUGGUCCAUGAACAUGCAAAUACAAAAAUAACACCAGCUGCAUGGCACUGUUCUGCCACGUGGCCGCCUCUGGUAGGCCAUGCAUGGCACCGUUUAUGGUGUUGACAUCAGUGAUAAUGGCAGCACUUCUUUUUUAAUUUACGAAAUUGAUAUAUUUUUAUUCAUAGCGUCAAAUAUAUCAAAUAAUAUAUCAGUUUGUUGCAUUUAUUAAUUAAAAGAGAUAAUUUUAAAACAAGCAAAAAUUAUUCGUUUUCUAGGUUUUAUAUUUUUCCUAGGCAGAGUACAUCAUGAAGAGGCUACACAAAAUAUUUCAUGAAUUUAGCAUUUCACUAAUAAUUAGUUAUGAAAUAAACAAAUAUUUGUUGACGCGUUGAAAGAGCCUUUACAUGCAUUGACCAAAGUGGCACAGGCCGACAAGUUCAAAGGCCACUGUUUUGCGUUUGCAAAGUUCAUGGACCAAAGUGGCACAGGCGGACAAGUUCAGGGGUCAGUUUUUCGGGUUUACAAGUUCAUGAACCAAAGUGGCAUAGGCUGACAAUUUAAAGGGCCGCCAGUGUAUUUUACUCUUUUAAAAACUUCUCCUAAUAAAAACACGAGAUGCGUCCAACAUGGAUGAGAUCAACAUUAACGUAUGUUGCAAUCAUGUUGGCUGUAUCCCAUAUUUUAGUUGUAGAAAGUUUUCAAAACACAUUAGACAUUGAUUAGAAUGAGAUCAGGAAGACAAUUUUCUUUUUCUUUUGGAGUUCAAAGGCCUUGUUUAGUUUGCAAAAAAUUCAGUUUUCAGCUACUGUAGCACUUUCGUUUUUAUUUAACAAAUAUUAUCCAAUCAUGGAGUAACUAGGCUCAAAAUAUUUAUCUCACAAAUUACAGAUAAACUGUGCAAUUAGUUUUUAUUUUCAUCUAUAUUUAAUGCUCCAUGCAUACGAUCAAAGAUUCGAUGUGACGGAUAAUCUUGAAAACUUUUGCGAACUAAACGAGGCCAGAAAUCUAAAGUCUGAUGAUAGUCAGAGAUUUUUUCUUAAAAAAAAGACCCUUUUGUUCUUAUUUGAAACUGCAACUGACAUCAGCUCUUACUACAUGUAUAUAGGCUCACAUGUGCAGUGACGUCAUGACAUCCAAUCCACUGGCCGCUGGCACAGAGGGCCUCUCACUCUUUAUAGCCACGGCCGAGCGGCAGGCCACCGCAUCACCCCCUCACCACCGAAGGCACCAACCACCCGAGAGCAUCGACGGCCGACGAGCAUCUUCCAGCACCUGCCAUGGCUGCCGCUUCCGUGUCCGUCCCCCGCAUCAAGCUGGGCUCGCAGGGGCUCGAAGUCUCCGCGCAGGGCCUUGGCUGCAUGGGCAUGUCCGCCUUCUACGGUCCGCCCAAGGCCGAGCCGGACAUGAUCAAGCUCAUCCACCACGCCGUCGCCGCCGGGGUCACCCUCCUCGACACCUCCGACAUCUACGGCCCGCACACCAACGAGAUCCUGCUGGGCAAGGUCGGUCCGCUCGAGUCUUAGAUCCCUGUUGUUGUCGAUUUCUUCGGCUUUGUUUUUUCAGUUUGCACUGAAGAUGUUCGAUGUAAUGCUUCUGAUUUCUGAGAAGGCGCUUCAAGGCGGGGUAAGGGAAAAGGUGGAGCUGGCCACCAAGUUUGGCCUCUCCUUCGCCGACGGUAAGCGGGAGAUCCGCGGUGACCCAGCAUACGUGCGGGCAGCGUGCGAGGGCAGCCUCAAGCGGCUCGGCGUCGACUGCAUUGACCUCUACUACCAGCACCGCAUCGACAAGAAGGUGCCGAUCGAGGUCACGGUGAGUGCAGUGUAUCUUCCCCACUGGAUUCCUUUGUUUGGUAGCUGUGGCCUGUCAGUCUGUCACCAAUGGAUGGUCGAUGUGAACAUACAAGUGGAAGCUGGAAAUGCCGGCCGGGGCAUAUUCUUCCAUGACAGUUAGUGGUGGUGGUUGGUGGAGACAGGUUUGUUGGAGGUUGGUGUCUACAACGUAUGAGUGGUUAUACUAACAUAAGGGCCCUUGUGUAAAUUUGGCAAAGAUGCCGUGCUGGCAUAUGACGCAAGGUUUCUUUUAUGUAAUCUCAAUCACCAUCCUGAAGUUAACGAAACAAAAGAAACCUCAUUUUGGAUCCAUCUUAUCUCUUGUGAGAAGGGUGUGUCUAGCAGACCUCCCUCCCACCCUGUUUAGCAGAGCUCAAACCCCAAGAACUGCUGAGGAUGAAAACUAAUCAGAUGUAGACACACCUCUUUCUUGCAGGAACUUGUAGGAGUUUUCUGAGGUACAAUUACAUAUACCAGCAACUGGAUCAAUCAUAUCAGAUGCUGUACCCAUGCCUUGGCAAACACUAGCUGCUAUCAUUUUUGGCCCAUUCAUAUUUAUAUUACUGUCAGUUCAGUAGUUCACAUAUGUUGUUUAUAGUUUUCCUUUCUCUCACAAUCCACACUGCACCUUGUAAGCCAUGAACUAUUUCCUUUUAGAUAAUUGAGUUUGUUUCUUUUUCUGUUGCUAGAUUGGUGAACUCAAGAAGCUAGUGGAAGAAGGAAAGAUAAAGUACAUUGGGUUAUCUGAAGCAUCUGCGUCAACAAUCCGGAGAGCUCAUGCAGUCCAUCCUAUCACUGCAGUACAGAUUGAAUGGUCAUUAUGGUCUAGAGAUGUGGAAGAAGAUAUAAUUCCCACUUGCAGGUACUUUCAUGAACAGCCAAACACUAGGGUUGUGAAGUCAAUAAGUAGGAAGCUUAUUUCUGAAUCACCACCUUUCUGUGACUAUUUCAGAGAACUUGGAAUUGGAAUUGUAGCUUACAGUCCACUAGGAAGAGGGUUUUUGUGCAGUGGAGCAAAACUAGUUGACUCACUGUCGGAGCAGGACUUCCGCAAGGUAAACUAAAAACUUUUUUUUCUCAAACACGCAGGAGAGCUGCGUAUCAUUAUAUUGAGAAGAAAAAAGGGUAACACAACCACAAACAAAAGUAAACACCAGCACCAACACACACCACACACGCCACUCUAAUGUAUGCAUAAUACUUGGUUCAGCUGUCCUUAAUUUUAAACAUUCCGUUGAUCUUAGAUACAUUUUUGGAUUCUGCUCAUGUAUUUGAUAUAUACAAGGGUCCCAUCCAAAUUGCUUGAAGAAAAAAGAAUAAGAAAUAAUUGUGUAUUGCCUCUUUGUAACAAGGAUUUCAAACUUCUGCAGCAUAUGCCUAGAUUUCAACCGGAGAAUAUUGACAAGAAUGCUAAGAUAUUCGAGCAUGUGAACGCAAUGGCAGCUAAAAAAGGAUGCACACCAUCACAACUAGCAUUGGCUUGGGUUCACCAUCAGGGAAAUGAUGUUUGCCCCAUACCUGGCACAACAAAAAUUGAGAACUUCAACCAGAACGUGGGGGCAUUGUCUGUGAAGUUGACACCAGAUGAGAUGGCCGAACUUGAGUCGUAUGCUGCUGCAGGUGAAGUCUUGGGUGACCGUUAUCCUCAAAUGGCCAACACCUGGAAGGACUCUGAGACCCCGCCAUUGUCUUCUUGGAAAUCUGAGUAGCCAAUCUG